rnacentral:rRNA from 1 species
UAAUAAGCGGAGGAAAAGAAACUAACAAGGAUUUCCUCAGUAGCGGCGAGCGAACAGGAAAGAGCCCAGCACCGAAUCCCGCGGUUCCGCCGCAGGGAGUUGUGGUGUUCGGGAGGAUCCGCUUAUCCCUUGGCGUCGCGCCGCGUCCAAGUCCAUCUUGAACGAGGCGAUUCAUCCGCAGAGGGUGCCAGACCCGUAGCGACCGAUGCGCGCCUCGGGAGGAUCUCUCCUUAGAGUCGGGUUGCUUGAGAGUGCAGCUCUAAGUGGGUGGUAAACUCCAUCUAAGGCUAAAUACAACCACGAGACCGAUAGCGAACAAGUACCGUGAGGGAAAGUUGAAAAGAACUUUGAAGAGAGAGUUAAAGAGUACGUGAAACCGUUCAGGGGUAAACCCGAGAAACCCAAAAGUUCGAACGGGGAGAUUCAUCGUCAGCGCCGCUGGCUUCGCGUCGGUCGGCGAUGCCGGCGCGGGUCCGCCGUGUCUCGCCACGGCUCCCGCGCUGGCACGCCGCUGUGCGCCGAUGCCCGGCGCGCGUCGUCGUGCACUUCUCCCCCAGUAGGACGUCGCGACCCGCUGGGUGCCGGUCUACGGCCCGGGACGGACGGCUGCAACGUCGCCGGUGAAACGGCACGCGGCAAGCCCCCGGUCGCCCGGCCGGCUGCCCGGCGGUACGGUUAGAAACGGUACGAGGCCGCGCCCUCGGGCGCGUCGAGCCCGUCGCAAGCGAGCGCCACGGUACCCGGAGGCUACGGACCCAGUGCCGUCCCCGGUCCUGGCCCGCUGUUGGCAGUACGGUGCACCUUCGACAGGCCUGCGAGGCGCGCGCGCGCGCGUGUGGUGUCCCGCUCGUCCUCCGUGGCGUGAGGGCCCGCGCGCGCGCGCGGCGGCACAUACCGGUCGGCGACGCUACCGCUUUGGGUACUCUCGGGACCCGUCUUGAAACACGGACCAAGGAGUCUAACAUGUACGCGAGUCAUUGGGACGAGCGAUACCCAGAGGCGCAAUGAAAGUGAAGGUCGGCCCUAACCCGGCCGACCGUGGGAGGAUGGGCCGCGUCGCGAUGCGGCCCCGCACUCCCGGGGCGUCUCGCCCUCAUCGCGAGGAGAGGCGCACCCAGAGCGUACACGUUGGGACCCGAAAGAUGGUGAACUAUGCCUGGUCAGGACGAAGUCAGGGGAAACCCUGAUGGAGGUCCGUAGCGAUUCUGACGUGCAAAUCGAUCGUCGGAACUGGGUAUAGGGGCGAAAGACUAAUCGAACCAUCUAGUAGCUGGUUCCCUCCGAAGUUUCCCUCAGGAUAGCUGGCACUCGGCCGUUCCCCGGCGGAACGCGAACGAGUCUCAUCCGGUAAAGCGAAUGAUUAGAGGCCUUGGGGCCGAAACGACCUCAACCUAUUCUCAAACUUUAAAUGGGUGAGAUCUCUGGCUUUCUUGAACAGUGAAGCCACGAGAACGAUCGGAUCAGAGUGCCAAGUGGGCCAUUUUUGGUAAGCAGAACUGGCGCUGUGGGAUGAACCAAACGCAGAGUUAAGGCGCCCAACUCGACGCUCAUGGGACACCAUGAAAGGCGUUGGUUGCUUAAGACAGCAGGACGGUGGCCAUGGAAGUCGGAAUCCGCUAAGGAGUGUGUAACAACUCACCUGCCGAAGCAACUAGCCCUGAAAAUGGAUGGCGCUGAAGCGUCGAGCCUAUACUCUGCCGUCAGCGGCAAGUGGGGCGGCCGCCGCCGCAUCCGCGCGCGGUGGUCGUCACGAGGCCCUGACGAGUAGGAGGGUCGCGGCGGUGCGCGCAGAAGGGUCUGGGCGCGAGCCUGCCUGGAGCCGCCGUCGGUGCAGAUCUUGGUGGUAGUAGCAAAUACUCCAGCGAGGCCCUGGAGGACUGACGUGGAGAAGGGU